GCUCAUUUGAAGGCAGCGAACCGCUUUCCUUUAACGCGCCAUUACUCUUUCUCUCGUAAAGCCGUCGGGCCACCUUUUCAGCCCGUGUUUGGUUUUCCUCAGUCAGAGGAAGUGGUGAAUGUGCUUCCUGUACCGUCUCUCCCCCCCCCUUCCUCCCCCCUCCAGACCUGUAGUGAAUGCAGAGAGAGAGAGAGAGAGAGAGCGAGAGAGAGAGCGGAGGGGAAAGCUGAGCUCAAGCGAAAGAAGGUUAGCCAGCAGCGAGUGAAGAAAAUGGCGAUCAUGCAGGACGAAUUCCUCCCCUCGUAGACGCUGCAAACGCGUUGAAAUUCUUGUAGCCUUACAGCCGGCUUUCCUUUCCACUCGGUUGCACUUUAUACUUCAAUGAGAGAUUUGGAAUCGAAAGCUGUUGCCACCAAAGAAGCAUCGAAACAGCCCAUCCUCAUCUCGAGGUGGGACCAAAAAAAAACAAGCCGCAUUAUUCUUAGUAGUGGAGACG
ensembl:lncRNA